rnacentral:rRNA from 1 species
UACAGAGGUGGCAAGCGUUGUUCGGAAUUACUGGGCGUAAAGGGCGCGUAGGCGGAUAUUUAAGUCGGGGGUGAAAGCCCAGGGCUCAACCCUGGAAUUGCCUUCGAUACUGGAUAUCUUGAGUUCGGGAGAGGUGAGUGGAAUGCCGAGUGUAGAGGUGAAAUUCGUAGAUAUUCGGCGGAACACCAGUGGCGAAGGCGACUCACUGGCCCGAUACUGACGCUGAGGCGCGAAAGCGUGGGGAGCAAACAGG